AACGAACGCUGGCGGCAUGCCUAACACAUGCAAGUCGAACGAGACCUUCGGGCCUAGUGGCGCACGGGUGCGUAACGAGUGGGAACCUGCCCUUAGGUUCGGAAUAACUCACUGAAAGGGGUGCUAAUACCGGAUAAUGUCUUCGGACCAAAGAUUUAUCGCCUUUGGAUGGGCCCGCGUUGGAUUCGCUAGUUGGUAGGGUAAAAGCCUACCAAGGCGACGAUGCAUAGCUGGUCUGGGAGGAUGAUCAGCCACACUUGGACUGAGACACGGCCCAGACUCCUACGGGAGGCAGCAGUGGAGAAUAUUGUACAAUGGGCGAAAGCCUGAUCCAGCCAUGCCGCGUGAGUGAUGAAGGCCUUAGGGUUGUAAAUCUCUUUUACCCGGGAUGAUAAUGACAGUACCGGGAGAAUAAGCUCCGGCUAACUCCGUG
rnacentral:rRNA from 1 species